rnacentral:rRNA from 1 species
AUCCAGAGAUGGAUGGUUCCCUUCGGGGACGCAGUGACAGGUGCUGCAUGGCUGUCGUCAGCUCGUGUCGUGAGAUGUUCGGUUAAGUCCGGCAACGAGCGCAACCCACGUCCUUAGUUACCAGCAUUUAGUUGGGUACCCUAAGGAGACCGCCGGUGAUAAGCCGGAGGAAGGUGUGGAUGACGUCAAGUCCUCAUGGCCCUUACGGGUUGGGCUACACACGUGCUACAAUGGCAUUUACAGAGGGAAGCGAGACAGUGAUGUGGAGCGGACCCCUUAAAGAAUGUCGUAGUCCGGAUUGGAGUCUGC